rnacentral:lncRNA from 1 species
AUAUGACGGUUCUACCGAUCCAGUUGAUCACCUUAAGAGCUACAAGGCUCUCAUGACAAUCCAAAGGGCAACCGAUGCCCUUCUAUGCAUUGGCUUCCUGGCCACACUUCAGAAAGCUGCUCGAGCCUGAUACUCUGGACUUCGGUCGGGAAGCAUCUAUUCUUUCGGAUAGUUGGAACACUCUUUCAUGGCACACUUCAAUACC